rnacentral:rRNA from 1 species
CCCUUAGAUGUUCUGGGCGGCCCGCGCACUACAAUGGCGCUUUCAGCGAGUUCCUAUGUUGAAUUUUCCUGGGUAUUCUUGGAAGCGGCGUCUUGACUUGGGAUAGAUCCUUGUAAUUGUUGGUUUUGAACGAGGAGUUCCUUGUAAUCGCGGUUGAUCAGCUCGCGUUGAAUACGUCCCUGCCCUUUGUACACACCGCCCGUCGCUCCUACCGAUGAAUCGUCCGGUGAAGUUCACAGAGUGGCGGUUCGUGGAGUUGCUCGCGAAGUGAAAUGGACCUCACGAUUUAGAGGAAGGAGAAGUCGUAACA